rfam:Bombyx mori DNA, contig: Bm_scaf20_contig14577, strain: p50T/Dazao, build 2, whole genome shotgun sequence.
ACAUCAGUAGGACCGUCGGCCUACCGAGCAAUAUCACCCACUCCGUGGAAGAUCUUCCCUUUGUCGC